rnacentral:lncRNA from 1 species
CAAAUAGUCUAGAUUGAAGGAAAUUGCAAAGUAAACAUUGACCCAUGUAAAUCGUAGUGAUAACACUAAUUAACCAAUGAUAAAGUUAUCAACAGAUUAAAGACCACCAAAGGUGUUAAUUAGGCCAUUAACAUGUCACCUAAAGAAAACAGUAACAUAAACAAAUGCUAUGAAUUGCCAAAUAAUUCUUAUCAAAAUCAAGACCAGCAUAAAUUUUUUAUUUCUUAUAUGUACGAGAACUAUGAGGAUAUAAAAUGAACACUUUAUCAUACUAGCAUAUCAAUACCGGAAAUCUGACUUUCAUUGAAAAAAAACAAAAGUUGCACAUUUUAGGUUAUUA